GAUGAACGCUGGCGGCGUGCCUAAUACAUGCAGGUCGAGCGAACAGACGAGGAGCUUGCUCCUCUGACGUUAGCGGCGGACGGGUGAGUAACACGUGGAUAACCUACCUAUAAGACUGGGAUAACUUCGGGAAACCGGAGCUAAUACCGGAUAAUAUAUUGAACCGCAUGGUUCAAUAGUGAAAGACGGUUUUGCUGUCACUUAUAGAUGGAUCCGCGCCGCAUUAGCUAGUUGGUAAGGUAACGGCUUACCAAGGCAACGAUGCGUAGCCGACCUGAGAGGGUGAUCGGCCACACUGGAACUGAGACACGGUCCAGACUCCUACGGGAGGCAGCAGUAGGGAAUCUUCCGCAAUGGGCGAAAGCCUGACGGAGCAACGCCGCGUGAGUGAUGAAGGUCUUCGGAUCGGAAAACUCUGUUAUUAGGGAAGAACAAAUGUGUAAGUAACUAUGCACGUCUUGACGGUACCUAAUCAGAAAGCCACGGCUAACUACGUG
rnacentral:rRNA from 1 species